AAGGUAGGAGCCCACGUCUCCCUAGCUGCCCUCUAACUGCUGCAGGCUCCUCCUAGCCACUCCGAAUCCGAAACCGCUGUUCUCAUCACCAUCCCUUUCAUCCUACAUGCUGGGAGCAGCCCCUUGGCAAACCCCAUCGCUCCUCACGCCACCUUCCAGAAAGCUCCUGAGCCUCCAAGUCUGAGCUUGCUGGUGGCAUUGAGACACAAUGAAUGGCAGAAAAGCUCCCUUCCUAAGGAGUCGUUCCAGCCAGACGGGCAGAGCGUGCCCUGGCUGCAGGCUGGCACCGGGGGCUUUCGCUGUUUGGAAAGCACGGGGGCUGGUUACCACAGGUGAUCCAUCCAGCAGAUCCUGGCCCAAGGCCACAGUUAGCAAGCUCCAG
rnacentral:lncRNA from 1 species